rnacentral:rRNA from 1 species
GACGAACCGUGCGAACGUUAUUCGGAAUCACUGGGCAUAAAGCGCACGUAGGCGGUGACGUAAGUCGGGUGUGAAAUCCCUCGGCCUAACCGAGGAACUGCGCCCGAUACUGCGUUGCUUGAGGACCAGAGGGGUGCAUGGAAUUUCCGGUGGAGCGGUGAAAUGCGUUGAUAUCGGAAGGAACUCCGGCGGCGAAAGCGAUGCACUGGCUGGUUUCUGACGCUGAGGUGCGAAAGCCAGGGGAGCAAACUGGG